CUCCUCGUUAGGAAUACAUUUGUACACUUGACUCAAUAUUCCACGGUCCUGCUAACGUUUCUAACCACAAGGACAAAACACCCUUGAUUUAACCACGAGAGAAAAUUAAAAGCUGCCAAAAUUCAUCUUGUCGGUUGAAGUGAAGGCUGGCUUUCUAUAAAUAUAUCCGCCAUUAAUUGCUGUAUCUCUCACUUAUCAGCCAAUCCUGUCACUAACUGGAGCCACAUAACAGUGCUUUCAUUUCCGCUAGUCAGAUAUAAUCGCUAUUGCCUAGUUUUGGUGUAAUGAAGGCUUGAGUGAGGCAGACUGACAGCUCCUCUCUACCGGGACCGCCGCUUGUAAUUUAAACUAACGCCGCUUGUAAUUUAAACUAAUGUACAUUGUUUUCAGGUUCAACAAGCACAGUACUUAGUUGACUUGUGCAUAGAUACGUGGUGCUUGCUGGAUAAAUGUAGGUAAUUAGUAGUAUGCAUGUUUGGGGAGCAGGUGUGUGUGUGUGUGUGUCCGUCCGUGUCCCCUUAGGCUUUCACACCGCCACCCUUCUGCCCUCACAACCCUUCAUCCCUUCACCUUUCUUCCCUCUCUAUAGUCUCUGCAUACUGAUACGUCCCUCCUGCGCAGUGUCAGGCACAGUUACCAGCCAGUAGAGAUGAAACCAGUAACUCCUGACGAAUAGAAUAUUUUGUAUUGGGAGAAGGACGUUAGGAGAAAUGAAGAUAAAAGAAGUGCAAGAAUCAGUAUGGUGAAAAUACUUUGAGAAACACCCCUAAGAACAUGAACUGCAAGAGGGGAAUGUUUCUAAGUCUUCGAAUACAAUAUAAUUAAAAUAAUUAGAGGAUUAAUUAAUAAGUAAGGAGAAAUGACAACGGUAACGAAAGAAAAACUGUGCGAAAAUUAACAUAAUUAAAAUAAACUAUGAAAACUAUCACAAAGAACAAGAAAUAUUAGUAAAAACUCAAAAAAUUAAGUUAACCGUCCCUGGGUGAAGAUUGGCCGCCGCCCCGCCAUGUGCGAACAACAACAUUCGGUCAGGGUGGAAGCGAUUAGGGAGUUUUCAGCUGUAAUUGUGUGCAAGUAGUCACCAUCACCUACUGGAGUGACGGGUGGAGUGGAGCAGCAGUAGUGGUGGUGGAGCUGGAGUGGUGUCAGACUACCCCAUCCCGUGCCUCCCGCCCUGCCCCACCCAGAUGCCAUGGCCCGGCAGCGACACCAUUCCACCUGCUACAUGACGCUGGCUGAUGCACUCCUGACGUGGCAGCGACAGGAGGCAGAGGGCAGGAGCAAGUCGGAUGGUGAAGAAAGGCGUGAUGGCGGAGGUGGUGGCUGUGGAGGGUGUUCGUGCAGGGUACCUCGGCAGGGUCUAGUGUGCAGGUUUGCAGUAAACCUCCCUGAAGGUUCCAGAGCUGCUCAGCAAGUGCCCAGUCCAGGCUGUCACAAGACUGUGUGAUGGUGGACCUUCCAAUGAUACUCACUGAAAACAGCUGUGCACUGCCACUCACAGGAAAUGACUACCCCAUCCCCUGUCUCCCUGCCCUGCCCCACCCAGACACCAUGGCCUGGCAACGACACCAUUCCACCUGCUACAUGACACUGGCUGACGCACUCCUGACGUGGCAGUGACAGGAGGCGGAGGGCAGGAGCAAGAGUUGGAUGGUGAAAGAAGGCGUGAUGGCAGAGGUGGUGGCUGUGGAGGGUGUUCAUGCAGGGUACCUCGGCAGGGUCUAGUGUGCAGGUUUGCAGUAAACCUCCCUGAAGGUUCCAGAGCUGGUCAGCAAGUGCCCAGUCCAGGCUGUCACAAGACUGUGUGAUGGUGGACCUUCCAAUGAUACUCACUGAAAACAGCUGUGCACUGCCACUCACAGGAAAUGGGCCUGAUGUGAAGGUGUCUGCAUCCAGUGUUUGGUGUCCUCUGUGCCUGCCUGGUGGUGCCUCAUUGCAGGGCCUGAUGUGAAGGUGUCUGCAGGCAGUGGUGGGUGUCCUCUGUGCCUGGUGGUGCCUCAUUGCAGGGCCUGAUGUGAAGGUGUCUGCAGCCAGUGGUGGGUGUCCUCUGUGCCUGGUGGUGGUGCCUCAUUGCAGGGCCUGAUGUGAAGGUGUCUGCAGCCAGUGGUGGGUGUCCUCUGUGCCUGGUGGUGCCUCAUUGCAGGGCUGACUGAUGUGAAGGUGUCUGCAGCCAGUGGUGGGUGUCCUCUGUGCCUGGUGGUGCCUCAUUGCAGGGCUGAUGUGAAGGUGUCUGCAGCCAGUGGUGGGUGUCCUCUGUGCCUGGUGGUGCCUCAUUGCAGGGCUGAUGUGAAGGUGUCUGCAGCCAGUGGUGGGUGUCCUCUCUUCCUGGUGGUGCAGCCUGAUGUGUUGCCUGCUUCAGUGUAAAUCUUGCAAGCCAGAUCUGCCAGCUGUCUCCAGUGUAGUAGUCUAGGGUGCUUUGCUUUGUGUCUUUGGCAAUAAAUAAAUUUGUGAGCAUCAUUCU